GUCCAUUAUUUUUAUGUAUCCAAGACUGGACGGGAUGAAAGCAAAGAGGCUGCCUGAGGGAUACACGAAGCAGAAACCAAUGGCUGCAAGACCAGAGACGCAGAACCCUCCGAGGAGAGGGCAGUCUGGAUCCUGGGGACCUCCUCCAUUAACUGGACGAUUCUGCAUGCCCUACCCUGGAGACACCCCACCCCCAUGGACUAUUAGGCACAUCCACCUCCUGAACUUUGGUGGCCCUGGGGCCAUCCAGAACCCCUCCACCUGCAACACUUGAAUUUCAGCUCAUUUUUCCAGAGGACACAAUUACCCUGCAAAGUGUACUGCACUUAAGCUGAGAAGUACCUCCGAAGUAAAAUAACUUAGCUGAACCCAACUAACAGGCUAUUUUGUAUGCAAGAGUCCUGGUCCUUUCCCAGGAUUGCCUUGCAGGCUGUGCCCCGUGGACCACCCUUCACCACCAGUCAUGGGCUAUAGGCCACAUCCCCCUCCUCCACCUACUCUAUUUGUUAAGAUGACCUGAACUGGCUGAGUGGCUGGACAACUCUUUUGAAAUUGAAGAGGACUGUGCACGGUGACAGACAAUCGUGUUUGCAUAUACAUUUUAAGAAGGUGUCAGAUCUACCUGAAUGCUUUCCCUGCCCAUCCUGUCCCCUCCACUUUGUCCUUCCUACUGUCCCCUAAUCUACAUUUCAUCGUUUUGUCUCUGUGCCAGCGUCUGCUUCUAGGGCCAUCUACUCUCGCUCCCCAUUGAGUGCACACAGUGGGGUUCCUGUACACACAGGAAAUGGCUGAGUUCUAAUGGUGGAGAAGGAUGAGGGACCAGCAGUGACUGUGGUAGAGGAGUAAGGGUCAGACCCACGCCCAGGAUGCCAGGUCUCCACAGACAGCACCAAGUGUAGGAGGAUUCUGAGGAGCAGAGAUUUCUUGAUCAGACCCAUGGACUACAUAAUCCUCCUGUAGUUUCCUCACUGAGCGAUGGCUAGAGCCGAGGCCAGCAGCUGGAGGACACCUGAUCAUGGCUGGAGUGGAGCAGUGGGCCUGGGGGAUUGAGUCAGGGAAAGGGCCAGGCAGAAGGUAGUGACAGGGAGUUUGAGAGACAAACGGAAGAGAAGAGAAGGGACCCUUCUCUGCUGACUUCACCUACAUUUCUGUGUGACCAAAACGAGACCCUUGUCUCCCACGGAAGGGAAGAGGGCUGGCAAAACACCGAGUGACAUACUCAGCUCAAGUGCCCAGGGUAUCUGCCUUGUUCUUGAGUACCUAACACAGGAAGCACGUGCUUUCUGUCAUGAUUGGAACUGCAGCUCGUACCAUUUAGUGAAAAUCAAUCCAAUUAUGCAUCCCUCAGCAUUAAAGUACUCCAACAAAAUUAAGUGAACAGACUGAAAGAUACAAGGCAGGAUAAAGUCCAAAGGUAGAGCGACGGCAAUACUUACGGGAAUACAGUCUAUCCGAAAAGGAGGUAGGUACCCUAGUGCAGGCCUCAGCCACCUGGGCAAUAUCUGAAAACGUAAAAAAAAAAAAAAAAAAAAAAAAAAGUCCUUACUCCAAAAGCAACAUUAGCUCUAGACACAAAGGGAUCAUGAUUAAGGUUUAGAGAGCAACCAUAUGACUUCAUGGUGCUGUAUCCAUGAGAUCAAGUUUCAUCAAAUUAUACCCUUUAAUUUGAGGCUCUUUGUUAUAUGUAAAUUAUACCUCAUUAAAGAGAGUUUCAAAACAUAAAA